rnacentral:rRNA from 1 species
GGAUGAACGCUGGCGGCGUGCCUAAUACAUGCACGUCGAGCGAACGGACGAGAAGCUUGCUUCUCUGAUGUUAGCGGCGGACGGGUGAGUAACACGUGGAUAACCUACCUAUAAGACUGGGAUAACUUCGGGAAACCGUAGCUAAUACCGGAUAAUAUUUUGAACCGCAUGGUUCAAAAGUGAAAGACGGUCUUGCUGUCACUUAUAGAUGGAUCCGCGCUGCAUUAGCUAGUUGGUAAGGUAACGGCUUACCAAGGCAACGAUGCAUAGCCGACCUGAGAGGGUGAUCGGCCACACUGGAACUGAGACACGGUCCAGACUCCUACGGGAGGCAGCAGUAGGGAAUCUUCCGCAAUGGGCGAAAGCCUGACGGAGCAACGCCGCGUGAGUGAUGAAGGUCUUCGGAUCGUAAAACUCUGUUAUUAGGGAAGAACAUAUGUGUAAGUAACUGUGCACAUCUUGACGGUACCUAAUCAGAAAGCCACGGCUAACUACGUG